AAACCUGUUGGUGCAACCAGCAAAAACCGUCCGUUACCUUGGUGUCCGGUAGCGCAGGUUUUACCGUAACCGUCGAUAGGUAUUAUUUUUUUCGACACGUAAAUAUUUUCGUUGAUGACAAAAUAACGGCGUUCCGAAAAGGCAGUAAGGCCCCUUAUAGAUGUAGGGCCCGGACGCAACCGCAUUCCUCCCGCUUUACCCUCUAUUUACGCCACUGCUUAGGCUCUACUGUUUAUUUUUCAACUCAUCUUUUAUUAACCGGUUUAGUAAAUCGUUGGAAAAAAUCCGAACGGUGUGGCGCGGGUACAUCACCACUGUUAAACGUUCAAAUGUUUCUAUACGGUCAAACCGGGUAAGACGGGCCACGCAAGUAUCGAAAUAUAUAGAGAAAAAAAAAAUAAAUAUCGGAAAACAUUAAUUGCACGAUAAUAAUAUAGUAUAGGAAAGUAUAUAGAACGUAUUUGAACGAGUGUAUCGGGCGGGAGUUAUUCGCGCCGAGCGUCGUACGUACCUAUAGUAUAUAAUAAAUCGUAUUAAAUUAACGGUUUUUAUACUUUUACACGUGUAAAUACGUAUUUUACACCACACCGCGUAUUGCGUACGUAUUACCAACCCGAAUUACGAAACGUACCCAAAAUAAAUCCGUGGCUCGGGUUUAAAAGGGCCAAUGUCAAAAAUAAAAAAAAUGUUAAAAAUGUUGGGUGUAUAAUAUAUUCGCGUGUAGGUAUAUUAUAUGUACAUAUGUUAUGCAGGUAUAUCAUUUAUAAUCGAUUUUCAAUUUCCAUUUUUUCAUUUUAAAAAAGACUGACAUGUUUCGCACGAUGUUGUUCUGACCCGUAGGCGAGAAGUUGGGACGUUAGAGAGGGGAUUUUACGUAUGCGCAGCGAUUAACCGUUGAUAACGAAAAACG